AGCAGCAGCAGCACAAGUCCAGACAAGAAAUAUGAUCUCAAAUAAGCAUUUCCAUUUACUAGUGUUUUCUCGAGCAUGAUUCUAAGGAUACAACCAGUUUGCAGAUAAUCUAUGGGAUCCUCCCCGUAACCUAUAUUCAGAUUUGGAAAGGGACCUAUUUGGCACAUUACAGUGAUUAUAAAGGUACAGCUUUCCUGGAAAAACCCUCAGUGGGUAAGGUAACAACAUUUGUGCCAAACAUGCAAAUGCAUAGGAGUCUAACUCUUUCAAGCAUUUAAACAGCAACUCUGAAGAAUGUGCAAGACUUAUUUCCCUUCUUGAAUAAGACUGUCCCAGUUUCAAGUCUCCAAGUUAAAUGCACAGUGGAUGGUUGCCCAGGUGACAGUCCGUAAACUAAACAGUCUCUGCAGCUAACUGAAGAGUUUGUACACACAGAACCAGUUGUAAUUAUCUUUUUAUUUUACAAGUACUUGGAGCUGUGAAACAUUGGAAAAUAAUCAAAGAAAAAAAUCUAUAUCUAUGCUGCCUCUAAAUGGAUCACUUGUUGAAGUGUGGGUUGACAGCUGUUUUUAGAAAUCAGUGCCUUGAUGAAUUAGGAUGAUGUUGACUGCUGUUUGUCUUGGUGUCUCAACUGUGUACCAACUNNNNNNGCAAAACAUAGAACAGAACCGUGUUCCUAAAAAGCACUACCCAAAAUAUUCCAUGGGCUUCCCAACCUGUUGAGAAGUAAAAGAGUAAAUUCCCACUGGACCACUUUCUCCUCAUUGUUUCUAGGC
rnacentral:lncRNA from 1 species